rnacentral:rRNA from 1 species
GACGGAGGAUGCAAGUGUUAUCCGGAAUCACUGGGCGUAAAGCGUCUGUAGGUGGUUCGAAAAGUCCACUGUUAAAAAUUGAGGCUUAACCUCAAAGAUGCCGUGGAAACUUUCAAACUAGAGUAUGGUAGGGGUAGGAGGGAAUUUCCAGUGGAGCGGUGAAAUGCGUAGAUAUUGGAAAGACCACCGAUGGCGAAGGCACUCUACUGGGCCAUUACUGACACUGAGAGACGAAAGCUAGGGGAGCAAAUGGG